rnacentral:rRNA from 1 species
GUGGGGAAUAUUGGGCAAUGGGCGAAAGCCUGACCCAGCGACGCCGCGUGAGGGAAGAAGGUCUUCGGAUUGUAAACCUCUUUCAGCAAGGAAGAAGAAAGUGACGGUACUUGCAGAAGAAGCCACGGCUAACUACGUGCCAGCAGCCGCGGUAAUACGUAGGUGGCGAGCGUUAUCCGGAAUUACUGGGUGUAAAGGGUGUGUAGGCGGGGCGCCAAGUCAGAUGUGAAAAUUACGGGCUCAACCCGUAACCUGCGUCUGAAACUGGUGCUCUUGAGAGUGGGAGAGGUAAACGGAAUUCCUGGUGUAGCGGUGAAAUGCGUAGAUAUCAGGAGGAACACCGGUGGCGAAGGCGGUUUACUGGACCACAACUGACGCUGAGACACGAAAGCGUGGGGAGCAAACAGG